rnacentral:rRNA from 1 species
CAGUAGCCGCGGGAAUACGGAGGGAGCUAGCGUUGUUCGGAAUUACUGGGCGUAAAGCGCACGUAGGCGGCUUUGUAAGUCAGAGGUGAAAGCCUGGAGCUCAACUCCAGAACUGCCUUUGAGACUGCAUCGCUCGAAUCCGGGAGAGGUGAGUGGAAUUCCGAGUGUAGAGGUGAAAUUCGUAGAUAUUCGGAAGAACACCAGUGGCGAAGGCGGCUCACUGGACCGGUAUUGACGCUGAGGUGCGAAAGCGUGGGGAGCAAACAGGAUUAGAUACCCCGGUAGUCCCUGUCUCUUAUAC